GAUCCUGGCUCAGGACGAACGCUGGCGGCGUGCUUAACACAUGCAAGUCGAACGAGAAUCUGAUGAAGGAGUUUUCGGACAACUGAUUCAGAGGAAAGUGGCGGACGGGUGAGUAACGCGUGAGGAACCUGCCUUGAAGAGGGGGGACAACAGUUGGAAACGACUGCCAAUACCGCAUGAUGCAUAGGGGUCGCAUGAUCUUUAUGCCAAAGAUUUAUCGCUUCAAGAUGG
rnacentral:rRNA from 1 species